AGAGUUUGAUCCUGGCUCAGGACGAACGCUGGCGGCGUGCCUAACACAUGCAAGUCGAGCGAAGUUAUUCCUUCGGGAAUAACUUAGCGGCGGACGGGUGAGUAACACGUGGGUAACCUGCCUUAUAGAGGGGGAUAGCCUUCCGAAAGGAAGAUUAAUACCGCAUAACAUUGAGCUUUCGCAUGGAAGCUUAAUCAAAGGAGUAAUCCGCUAUAAGAUGGACCCGCGGCGCAUUAGCUAGUUGGUGAGGUAACGGCUCACCAAGGCGACGAUGCGUAGCCGACCUGAGAGGGUGAUCGGCCACAUUGGGACUGAGACACGGCCCAGACUCCUACGGGAGGCAGCAGUGGGGAAUAUUGCACAAUGGGGGAAACCCUGAUGCAGCAACGCCGCGUGAGUGAUGAAGGCCUUCGGGUUGUAAAGCUCUGUCUUUGGGGACGAUAAUGACGGUACCCAAGGAGGAAGCCACGGCUAACUACGUGCCAGCAGCCGCGGUAAU
rnacentral:rRNA from 1 species